rnacentral:rRNA from 1 species
GAUGAACGCUGGCGGCGUGCCUAAUACAUGCAAGUCGAGCGAACAGAUGAGGAGCUUGCUCCUCUGACGUUAGCGGCGGACGGGUGAGUAACACGUGGAUAACCUACCUAUAAGACUGGGAUAACUUCGGGAAACCGGAGCUAAUACCGGAUAAUAUAUUGAACCGCAUGGUUCAAUAGUGAAAGACGGUUUUGCUGUCACUUAUAGAUGGAUCCGCGCCGCAUUAGCUAGUUGGUAAGGUAACGGCUUACCAACGCAACGAUGCGUAGCCGACCUGAGAGGGUGAUCGGCCACACUGGAACUGAGACACGGUCCAGACUCCUACGGGAGGCAGCAGUAGGGAAUCUUCCGCAAUGGGCGAAAGCCUGACGGAGCAACGCCGCGUGAGUGAUGAAGGUCUUCGGAUCGUAAAACUCUGUUAUUAGGGAAGAACAAAUGUGUAAGUAACUAUGCACGUCUUGACGGUACCUAAUCAGAAAGCCACGGCUAACUACGUG